rnacentral:rRNA from 1 species
UGGUUGGCAAAUAAGGGCGAAUGGUGGAUGCCUAGACAUCAAAAGGCGACGAAGGACGCGGCGUAGCGGCGAUACGUCUCGGGGAGGUGCGUAGCAACCUGCGAUCCGAGAAUUUCCGAAUGGGGAAACCCAAUUGAGUAAACCUCAAUUACUCGCAGCAAUGCGAGUGCAAACCCACUGAAGUAAAACAUUCCAGUAAGUGGAGGAAUCAAAAACAAGUCCGCCGAUGAGGCGGAUCAUUCCCUUAGUAUCGGCGAGAGAAAAGGGAAGAGCCCAAACCAAAAUUUUUCGCAAGAAAAAUAUUGGGGUCAAAAGAAAGAGACGCUCUUAGCUUAUAACUUUUAUCUUGUGGCGCGAGCUACGAGAUAUCAGUUAUGAGCUAGGGUGAGAUUGUUACAAAUUCAUUGAUUAGCCGAGGUCCACUGGAAAGGGACGCCAAAGAGGGUGAUAGCCCCGUAGGCGAAAGUUGAUGAACAAUCCAGUUUCUUUUCUUAAGUACUUCGAGGUAAAUUAGUCUCGGAGGAAUUCGCGAGUACUAUCUCGCAAGGCUAAAUACUUUUGAUGAUCGAUAGUGAACAAGUACCGUGAGGGAAAGGUGAAAAGCAGGCCGGUGAGGCCG